CUGACCUGUAACCCAGUCCUAAUUAUCAUUUGAAUGACAACAUGCUCUAGAUCAAUAGUGUUCAGUCACAGUUUGAAGGCAGAAGAUAAGAACUCACCUUGUGGAGUUGCAUGGGGUGGGGGAAAAGAUGCUAAUGUAUUUAUCUGAGAAUACAUGCCAACUAACCACUGGAUUUUGUGGAUAAUGGUGUGGAUCAUUUUUAUUAACUGAUUCACUGAAGAUAUUAAGUUUACUAGACACUGCAAGUAUGCAAUAUAUUUUGUUGCUCAAAUAUGCCACAAAGGUUUAGUGUUUUUGUACACCGUACACAAGUGAAAAUUAAGUCUCAUAUCUGUUCCUUUUUUUUUUUUUUUUUUUUUUUACAAACAUUGUCACAAUCAAUUGUAGUUGUAUUUAGCAGAUCUAUGUAAAGUUCUUCAAAAAAGUUCUAUAAGAAGAAAAUAACAGCUUACUGGUUAAAUAAUUACAGAAUUUUUAUUUUUGGGUGAACUGUUACGUGUCUACAGGGAGAAAAGAUGCUCAAGACUUUUGAACAUGGUGAGAUAGAAAUGGUGCUCUGCUCGAGGAUCUGCGGACUUCCCAGUCCUGAACAAUGAUGUAACUGACUCUUACAACGUUACUUCAUAUUAUACUGGAAAUCUCACAGCAGUUGAUGGCUUGCAUCAGGCCACAUCCAGUUUCAGAAAUUGGACGACAACGUCACUGAUGGCAAGAUGAUGUGGGUUCUCUCAUGACAUCCAAA